UACGAAGGGGGCUAGCGUUGCUCGGAAUCACUGGGCGUAAAGCGCACGUAGGCGGAUCUUUAAGUCAGGGGUGAAAUCCCGGAGCUCAACUCCGGAACUGCCUUUGAUACUGGAGAUCUUGAGUCCGGGAGAGGUGAGUGGAAUUCCGAGUGUAGAGGUGAAAUUCGUAGAUAUUCGGAAGAACACCAGUGGCGAAGGCGGCUCACUGGACUGGUAUUGACGCUGAGGUGCGAAAGCGUGGGGAGCAAACAGG
rnacentral:rRNA from 1 species